CGUGCUCGAACGUGAUCGAGCUCGGUGGUCUCGAUGCGGUGCUGUUCGAGUGUCGCAAAAACGACGUCGAAACGCUACGCCACUGUGCCGGUGCCCUGGCUAACCUGUCACUGUACGGUGGGGCGGAGAAUCAACAGGCGAUGAUCAACCGUAAGGUACCGUCCUGGUUAUUCCCGCUUGCUUUCCACAACGACGAAAACAUCAAGUACUACGCCUGCCUUGCCAUCGUCGUGCUCGUCGCCAACAAGGAGAUCGAAGCAGAGGUCAUCAAAUCGGGUACGCUCAAUCUCGUCGAACCGUUCGUCACCUCGCACAAUCCGUCCGACUUUGCAAAGUCCAACCUAGCGCACGCACACGGCCAGAGCAAGCACUGGCUACAGCGAUUGGUACCGGUACUGAGUUCGAAACGCGAGGAGGCCCGCAAUCUGGCGGCCUUUCACUUCUGCAUGGAGGCAGGCAUCAAGAAGGAGCAGGGGAAUACGAACAUCUUCAAGGAUAUCGGUGCGAUCGAACCACUGAUACGGGUGGCCAGCUCACCGAAUGCGAUCGCCUCCAAGUUUGCGGCGCAAGCGUUGCGCUUGAUCGGUGAGACGGUCCCACACAAACUGUCCCAGCAGGUGCCACUAUGGUCGAUCGAGGAUGUCCGGGAGUGGGUGAAGCAGAUCGGGUUCACCGAGUACGAGCAGCACUUCUACGAGUCGAAAGUGGACGGUGAUCUGUUGCUGCAGCUGCAGGAGUCGAACCUGCGGGAUGAUAUCGGCAUCAAGAACGGUAUCCAGCGGAUCCGGUUUGAGAGGGAGCUGCAGAACUUGAAGAAGAUGGCCGACUACAGUUCGCGCGAUCACGACGGCAUCCAUAGCUUCCUGAACCGCAUCGGACCGGAGUACACGAUCUACACUUAUGCGCUACUGAACGCAGGCGUCGAUCUGGAAUCGUUGCGCGAUCUGGACGAAGAUCAGCUGAUCUCACCGUGCGGCAUCAAGAACUCCAUUCACCGGGCCCGCAUACUAAACGUGAUCCGGUUGAGCGAUUCGAUUCCCGCGCUCCGCUCGGAGCAGAGCACGGAGAAGAGUCUCGAUGUGUUCGUUAGCUACCGGAGAAGCAACGGUUCUCAGCUCGCUAGUCUGCUAAAGGUGCAUCUGGAGCUGCGCGGCUUCUCGGUGUUCAUCGACGUCGAGCGGCUGGAGGCCGGCAAGUUCGAUAACAACCUGCUGCAGAGCAUUCGCCAUGCGAAACACUUCCUGCUCGUCCUGACACCGGAGGCGCUCGAUCGUUGCUUGGAUGAUGCUGACGGCAAGGACUGGGUGCACAGAGAAAUCGUAGCGGCCCUCAACUCCGACUGCAACAUUAUUCCCAUCAUCGACAACUUUGAGUGGCCAGCACCGGAGCGGCUGCCGGAAGAUAUGCGAGGAGUCUGCCACUUUAACGGUGUACGAUGGAUUCACGAUUAUCAAGACGCCUGUGUGGACAAACUGGAAAGGUACAUUCGAAAUACCAUGAACAAUAACAGUCGCGCGAACUCUGCUCAACGAACGCUCUAAGUUUCACCCUGUGUGUCCUGUGUGUCCGAUUGCGUGACAAUGUUAUAACUCUCGCUGUACCAGCGGAACUGUAUUUGGUGUGUGUUUUGGUUUUGCGGUACCGGUAUUGGUUGUGCGUGUUCCGUGCGUAUGCUGUGCAAAGGCUAUAUGCUGCUUGUUAAACAUGUCUAUGAUCGCUCGCCCGCUCCCUUUAACGCCAGUCGCCACGCCAGUGCAUUAUCACGGAGCCAGCUAGCAUGGCUCUUACAACCGAUCAUGUUGUGCAGUGUCGUACUUAGUUUCGAUGUUCGGUGCGCGUGCGUGGCGUAUUUGUGUCUUGAAUCCUUCGAACUUUCGUGAUUCCAUCCGUCCUUCGAAUCCUUCCUAGCGUGGUUACUGGUUUGGUCGAGCCUUGUUGGCAGUACAUACUGUUUGCAAACACUGUAGCUCCUCUCUAUGGGAGAAUGGCAUAAGGAAAGCUUAGAGAAACUCCAGCCAGCUCCAGAAAAGCGACCAGCGAUGGCGUUCAAGCUGUGGCUGUGCAUCUCGCCCCGAGCCAAGGUUCAUGCGAGCAGAAACGAACGGUCGUGUUGGAUUAAUGGAUUACGGGCGUAACAUGACGCUCCGGCAACCUGGAGACGCGACACCCUCAUCCAUGAUCUACAAUCGUACGCACAGCAAUGACUCGUGCAAGAGCAGC